rnacentral:ncRNA from 2 species
ACUCGGGGGGACGACUGGCGCAGGUGGACCACCACCGGGGAGUCACCUUUGGGAGCCGCAUCGCCCGCCUGGGUGCCUCCC